CCUACGGGGGGCUGCAGUGGGGAAUAUUGGACAAUGGGGGCAACCCUGAUCCAGCCAUGCCGCGUGUGUGAAGAAGGCCCUCGGGUUGUAAAGCACUUUCAGUGAGGAAGAACGCCUGGUGGUUAAUACCCAUCAGGAAAGACAUCACUCACAGAAGAAGCACCGGCUAACUCCGUGCCAGCAGCCGCGGUAAUACGGAGGGUGCGAGCGUUAAUCGGAAUUACUGGGCGUAAAGCGCGCGUAGGUGGCUUGAUAAGCCGGUUGUGAAAGCCCCGGGCUCAACCUGGGAACGGCAUCCGGAACUGUCAAGCUAGAGUGCCGGAGAGGAAGGUAGAAUUCCCGGUGUAGCGGUGAAAUGCGUAGAGAUCGGGAGGAAUACCAGUGGCGAAGGCGGCCUUCUGGACUGACACUGACACUGAGGUGCGAAAGCGUGGGUAGCAAACAGGAUUAGAUACCCCGGUAGUC
rnacentral:rRNA from 1 species